rnacentral:lncRNA from 1 species
GGUUGAAUACAUAACUUUUCCAUAAAAAAGGAUCGUAACUUUUUUUGUUAAAAAAAAUUGAAAGAUGCCAAUUGAAGCUGACUUUUCUAAUUAGUCUACUUUUUGGUUUAUGACUCUACUUCUAUUUUUUUUUUUUAAAGAAAUAAAAAUUUUGUUACAAUUUUUUUGCAUCGGCUUAUGAAUAAUAGUUGGUUCUCCAUGCCGUAGCUGGUUCACCAUGAGAGCUAAGUGGAAGAAAAGGCGUUAUGAAGAGGAAAUGUUGAAAAUUGAGGCAGAGAUCCAAGUAGAACACUAGGCAAGAUCAGGUAGAAUAAUAUUUGAUAGUUUUCAGCAUUAUUAGCUUUUGAUAUAAUCUUAUAUUAUGUAGUUAUACACUUGUAUAUACUCUUGCACUAAUCAAUUAUAUUAGUUUUGAGAAGUCAAGAUCAUAUGUAAUAGGUGGUCUGAGAAUUGAGUUUGCUUCUUUCUUAGCUAUUAAAUUACCUGCUACUCAAACUUUAGAGUCUCGACUGUUGUAGGCAGGGUGUUUUUCCAUCUCCUCUGUUGAUUUUAUUUUUGUGGCAUUUGGUUGAGUCGUAACUCUUGAAGGUGAUUAUAAUAUAAGAUUUUUGUAAUUUGCAUGUUUCCUUUGUGUAUAAGUGGAUAAUAGUGGAUGUAAAUUGAGUUGAUUUGUAAACUAGAAGGCCUGGCACUGCUAGUAUACAAGGUUAGAAUCUAAUUGGUGGAAGAAACAUUGUAUUAAUGUGUAGAAAAUUAUGUGAAAUAUAACUCAUACAUUCAUAUAAAGACUAAAAAGCUGAAUGUUGUUAAAGUCCAAGUAUCAUGUAGUUUAGUCAGGAAAAAUACAUAUUGUCUACUAAAUUUGUCUCCAAAAACCUCGAAAGCAC